rnacentral:rRNA from 1 species
UUAAGCGACUAAGCGUACACGGUGGAUGCCCUGGCAGUCAGAGGCGAUGAAGGACGUGCUAAUCUGCGAAAAGCGUCGGUAAGGUGAUAUGAACCGUUAUAACCGGCGAUGUCCGAAUGGGGAAACCCAGUGCAAUUCGUUGCACUAUCGUUAACUGAAUACAUAGGUUAACGAGGCGAACCGGGGGAACUGAAACAUCUAAGUACCCCGAGGAAAAGAAAUCAACCGAGAUUCCCCCAGUAGCGGCGAGCGAACGGGGAGCAGCCCAGAGUCUGAAUCAGCUUGUGUGUUAGUGGAACGGUCUGGAAAGUCCGACGGUACAGGGUGAUAGUCCCGUACACCAAAAUGCACAGGCUGUGAACUCGAAGAGUAGGGCGGGACACGUGGUAUCCUGUCUGAAUAUGGGGACCAUCCUCCAAGGCUAAAUACUCCUGACUGACCGAUAGUGAACCAGUACCGUGAGGAAAGGCGAAAAGAACCCGGCGAGGGGAGUGAAAAGAACCUGAAACCGUGUACGUACAAGCAGUGGGAGCACCUUCGGGUGUGACUGCGUACCUUUGUAUAAUGGGUCAGCGACUUAUAUUCUGUAGCAAGGUUAACCGUAUAGGGAGCCGCAGGGAAACCGAGUCUUAACUGGGCGUUAAGUUGCAGGGUAUAGACCCGAAACCCGGUGAUUCAGCCAUGGGCAGGUUGAAGGUUGGGUAACACUAACUGGAGGACCGAACCGACUAAUGUUGAAAAUUAGCGGAUGACUUGUGGCUGGGGGUGAAAGGCCAAUCAAACCGGGAGAUAGCUGGUUCUCCCCGAAAGCUAUUUAGGUAGCGCCUCGUGAAUUCAUCUUCGGGGGUAGAGCACUGUUUCGGCUAGGGGGUCAUCCCGACUUACCAACCCGAUGCAAACUACGAAUACCGAAGAAUGUUAUCACGGGAGACACACGGCGGGUGCUAACGUCCGUCGUGAAGAGGGAAACAACCCAGACCGCCAGCUAAGGUCCCAAAGUCAUGGUUAAGUGGGAAACGAUGUGGGAAGGCACAGACAGCCAGGAUGUUGGCUUAGAAGCAGCCAUCAUUUAAAGAAAGCGUAAUAGCUCACUGGUCGAGUCGGCCUGCGCGGAAGAUGUAACGGGGCUAAACCAUGCACCGAAGCUGCGGCAGCGACACUAUGUGUUGUUGGGUAGGGGAGCGUUCUGUAAGCCUGCGAAGGUGACCUGUGAGGGUUGCUGGAGGUAUCAGAAGUGCGAAUGCUGACAUAAGUAACGAUAAAGCGGGUGAAAAGCCCGCUCGCCGGAAGACCAAGGGUUCCUGUCCAACGUUAAUCGGGGCAGGGUGAGUCGACCCCUAAGGCGAGGCCGAAAGGCGUAGUCGAUGGGAAACAGGUUAAUAUUCCUGUACUUGGUGUUACUGCGAAGGGGGGACGGAGAAGGCUAUGUUAGCCGGGCGACGGUUGUCCCGGUUUAAGCAUGUAGGCUGAUUGUCCAGGCAAAUCCGGAUAAUCAAGGCUGAGGUGUGAUGACGAGGCACUACGGUGCUGAAGUAACAAAUGCCCUGCUUCCAGGAAAAGCCUCUAAGCAUCAGGUAACAUUAAAUCGUACCCCAAACCGACACAGGUGGUCAGGUAGAGAAUACCAAGGCGCUUGAGAGAACUCGGGUGAAGGAACUAGGCAAAAUGGUGCCGUAACUUCGGGAGAAGGCACGCUGGUGUGUAGGUGAAGUCCCUGCGGAUGGAGCUGAGACCAGUCGAAGAUACCAGCUGGCUGCAACUGUUUAUUAAAAACACAGCACUGUGCAAACACGAAAGUGGACGUAUACGGUGUGACGCCUGCCCGGUGCCGGAAGGUUAAUUGAUGGGGUUAUCCGUAAGGAGAAGCUCUUGAUCGAAGCCCCGGUAAACGGCGGCCGUAACUAUAACGGUCCUAAGGUAGCGAAAUUCCUUGUCGGGUAAGUUCCGACCUGCACGAAUGGCGUAAUGAUGGCCAGGCUGUCUCCACCCGAGACUCAGUGAAAUUGAACUCGCUGUGAAGAUGCAGUGUACCCGCGGCAAGACGGAAAGACCCCGUGAACCUUUACUAUAGCUUGACACUGAACAUUGAGCCUUGAUGUGUAGGAUAGGUGGGAGGCUUUGAAGCGUGGACGCCAGUCUGCGUGGAGCCAACCUUGAAAUACCACCCUUUAAUGUUUGAUGUUCUAACGUUGGCCCUUACCGGGGUUGCGGACAGUGUCUGGUGGGUAGUUUGACUGGGGCGGUCUCCUCCCAAAGCGUAACGGAGGAGCACGAAGGUUAGCUAAUCCUGGUCGGACAUCAGGAGGUUAGUGCAAUGGCAUAAGCUAGCUUGACUGCGAGCGUGACGGCGCGAGCAGGUGCGAAAGCAGGUCAUAGUGAUCCGGUGGUUCUGAAUGGAAGGGCCAUCGCUCAACGGAUAAAAGGUACUCCGGGGAUAACAGGCUGAUACCGCCCAAGAGUUCAUAUCGACGGCGGUGUUUGGCACCUCGAUGUCGGCUCAUCACAUCCUGGGGCUGAAGUAGGUCCCAAGGGUAUGGCUGUUCGCCAUUUAAAGUGGUACGCGAGCUGGGUUUAGAACGUCGUGAGACAGUUCGGUCCCUAUCUGCCGUGGGCGCUGGAGAAUUGAGGGGGGCUGCUCCUAGUACGAGAGGACCGGAGUGGACGCAUCACUGGUGUUCGGGUUGUCAUGCCAAUGGCACUGCCCGGUAGCUAAAUGCGGAAGAGAUAAGUGCUGAAAGCAUCUAAGCACGAAACUUGCCCCGAGAUGAGUUCUCCCUGAGACUUUAAGUCUCCUGAAGGAACGUUAAAGACGAUGACGUUGAUAGGCCGGGUGUGUAAGCGCAGCGAUGCGUUGAGCUAACCGGUACUAAUGAACCGUGAGGCUUAACCU